UAGGUCCACAACGAUGCCAAUUAUGUUUAUGACAGUGUAGAAAUAUAAUUAAUCAAUGCAGAGAAUCGGCAUCGCUAUUCUUCUACCUCUAUCCACUGCCAUUAUAACGUGGACCUCACUAUAACAAUAUAGUUAACCUAGAAUAAAUUCAACAGUCGUCAGUCUUGUUUGAAACAGAUAACAGAGUUUUGAAAACUUGCAAAAUAUGUACAUGACUAUUAUUAUUUAUAAACCACUAUAAUUUUAAUUUGUGUUUUUACUGUUGGUUAUGGUAUUAGUUAUAAAAUGAAGUAGCAAUAAUGUAGCAUACCUAAUAAAAAAAUCUUUAUUAUAACAAGAAAGAAACUGACUUAUAUGUUGAUAACAAUAGCAAUUGCUUUCCUGCGUAUCAUCAUUACUACUGCCUAUAUCGUACCUAUAUUUUGUGUUUUCUGUGGAGAACGAAUGGCUCAAGUUAAUGAAGCUAAUGAAAUAUCAAAAACCUACCAAGACAAUUUCUGACAUUUUACAACAUUCUACAGGCACAUAGAAGACUGGCUUAUGAUGGCGAAAGACUUUUGAAGGCGGUUACCUUGAUUGGGAUCAUAUCUAUUAAACCUUCGAAUCCUGCACUCAAAAGUAAAUGUGAUACCAUUCAAAUGGAAUAAGAUUGAUUUGAAUUGGAAUUUGUUAUUCCUGUAUCAUAGUGCAUUUUUCUACUAGUUACCCUACGUAUUGUACAUUAUUGUAAUAAAGCACUAGCUGUUCCAUAGUAGAAGUCUUUGAAAUAAAAGGUUUCUUUUUCAAGUUA